UACGUAGGGGGCAAGCGUUGUCCGGAAUUAUUGGGCGUAAAGAGCGUGUAGGCGGCCAGAUAAGUCCGCUGUGAAAUCUCGAGGCUCAACUUCGAGCUGUCGGUGGAAACUAUCUGGCUAGAGUCCGGAAGAGGAGAAUGGAAUUCCUGGUGUAGCGGUGAAAUGCGCAGAUAUCAGGAAGAACACCCGUGGCGAAGGCGGUUCUCUGGGACGGUACUGACGCUGGAGACGGCGAAAAGCCGUGGGGAGCGAACAGG
rnacentral:rRNA from 1 species